UUAAUAAUAAUAAUAACAUUAUUAUCAUUAUUAUUAUAUUAUUAUUAUUAUUAUUAUAAAUACUUAUACUGCUACAAACAAGGACGUUGCCAUGGUUAUUGCUACACGUGGUGGCAAAUUUCCGGGUAUUUAUACUAAUUUUCAUAUGUAGUUGGAGGUGGCGAAAGGCCGGACUAGCAGCUGCACUCUAUUUUCCCGCAAAUUGGGAUUUAUACAUCCGGAUCUUUUUGUGCACCGCGCUUUUCUAAAUUUGUCCGUACGGCAAAGUUUUGUUGUGAAAACUGCUCACUUUUUUAUACAUGAGGCCCCAUAUCUCUCUGCAUGAGGCCCCGGAGAUGUUCUAGGAAGGAUGUGAACUGUUCAGACUGGAACCUGACUAGUAGAAAACGAUCCCUGAGCACAAGUCUUUGAAUCCUUGGUUUUUGAUUACGCCUUUGUAGUCUUGUGUCCUGUCCUUUCUAGCCCUGUCAUAAUAAAUUUUGCUAAAUAAUACAUUUUCCUAGAGGUUAUUGCGAUAAACGAUAACAUCGUUGUUUUGAGACCAUGUACAUGUACAUG